GCCAUAGCUCAGUGGUAGAGCAUUAUCUUUUCAUUUGAAAGGCCUUGGGUUCAAUCCCCAGCAUCUUGCGGUGGGGCU